rnacentral:rRNA from 1 species
AACGCUGGCGGCAGGCUUAACACAUGCAAGUCGAACGGUUGCAGCAAUGCACAAUGGCAGACGGGUGAGUAACACGUGGGAACCUUCCUAGGGGUACGGAACAACUCAGGGAAACUUGAGCUAAUACCGUAUACGUCCGUGAGGAGAAAGAUUUAUCGCCCUUAGACGGGCCCGCGUCGGAUUAGCUAGUUGGUGGGUAACGGCCUACCAAGGCGACGAUCCGUAGCUGAUCUUAGAGGAUGAUCAGUCACACUGGGACUGAGACACGGCCCAGACUCCUACGGGAGGCAGCAGUGGGGAAUCUUGGACAAUGGGCGCAAGCCUGAUCCAGCCAUGCCGCGUGAGUGAAGAAGGUCUUCGGAUUGUAAAGCUCUUUUGCCAGGGACGAUAAUGACGGUACCUGGAGAAUAAGCCCCGGCAAACUUCGUGCCAGCAGCCGCGGUAAUACGAAGGGGGCUAGCGUUGUUCGGAAUUACUGGGCGUAAAGCGCACGUAGGCGGGUCGUUAAGUCAGGGGUGAAAUCCCGGAGCUCAACUCCGGAACUGCCUU